rnacentral:rRNA from 1 species
UACGUAGGGGGCAAGCGUUGUCCGGAUUUAUUGGGCGUAAAGAGCGUGUAGGCGGCCAGGUAGGUCAGCUGUGAAAACUCGAGCUCAACUGGGAGGGUGCGCCGGAUACUGAGGGGCUAGAGUGUGGGAGAGGAAAGUGGAAUUCCUGGUGUAGCGGUGAAAUGCGUAGAUAUCAGGAGGAACACCGGUGGUGUAAACGGCUUUCUGGACCAUAACUGACGCUGAGGCACGAAAGCGUGGGUAGCAAACAGG